GUACACGCUGUGACUAGCAUAUCAAUAAGCGGAGGAAAAGGAAACUAACAAGGAUUCCCCUAGUAACGGCGAGUGAAGCGGGAAGAGCUCAAAUUUGAAAUCUUAAAGGGUUUCCCUUUACGAAUUGUAGUUUAAAGAAGUGUUUUCUGUUGAGGUUUUGGUAAAAGUUCUUUGGAAUAGGACAUCAUAGAGGGUGAGAAUCCCGUAUUUGACCUUUACUUUCAACUUUGUGAUACACUUUCAAAGAGUCGGAUUGUUUGGGAAUGCAGUCCAAAAUGGGUGGUAAAUUUCAUCUAAAGCUAAAUAUUGGCGAGAGACCGAUAGCGAACAAGUACCGUGAGGGAAAGAUGAAAAGAACUUUGAAAAGAGAGUUAAACAGUACGUGAAAUUGUCAAAAGGGAAGCGUUUGACACCAGUGUUGUUUUUCUGAAAAUCAAUUAAAGAACUGUUUAUGCUAAGUUGUUUAGACUUUAUCAGCUAACUGUUUAGUUUUGAGCCUUUCUUUAAUGCACUUUUCAGUUAACAAGUCAACAUCAAUUUCUUUUGCUGUAAAAAAGCUUGAGGAAGGUGGCUUGAGAUUCGUCUUAAGUGUUUAUAGCCUCUUGCCUAUGCAGUCGGAGAGAUUGAGGUCUGCAGCGUAGAUCCUUCGGGGCUAAAUGCAUUUGUGCUAAGUUAUAGCAUUUUAUAGACAACUUGUUGACUAUGAUUUGUCUUGUAGCUUACUCGCUUAUGUUAUUUUACCUACGCUUAGGAUGUUGAGUCGUAGAGCACGCAG
rnacentral:rRNA from 1 species